rnacentral:rRNA from 1 species
AUUGAACGCUGGCGACAUGCCUUACACAUGCAAGUCGAACGGUAACGGGCCUUCGGGUGCCGACGAGUGGCGAACGGGUGAGUAAUACAUCGGAACGUGCCCGAUCGUGGGGGAUAACGAGGCGAAAGCUUUGCUAAUACCGCAUACGAUCUACGGAUGAAAGCAAGGGACCGCAAGGCCUUGCGCGGACGGAGCGGCCGAUGGCAGAUUAGGUAGUUGGUGGGAUAAAAGCUUACCAAGCCGACGAACUGUAGCUGGUCUGAGAGGAUGAUCAGCCACACUGGGACUGAGACACGGCCCAGACUCCUACGGGAGGCAGCAGUGGGGAAUUUUGGACAAUGGGCGCAAGCCUGAUCCAGCCAUGCCGCGUGCAGGAUGAAGGCCUUCGGGUUGUAAACUGCUUUUGUACGGAACGAAAAGCCUUCUUCUAAUACAGGAGGGUCAUGACGGUACCGUAAGAAUAAGCACCGGCUAACUACGUGCCAGCCGCCGCUGUAA